GGUAAUAUAACUCAGUGGUAGAGUGCUUGCCUAGCAUACACCAGAGCCUGGGUUCAAUCCUCAGCAUUAUACA
rnacentral:tRNA from 1 species